AUGCCGCCACCGCCCGAUCCAAGGAUCAGAGUUUCCCCCGGAGCUGCACGACGGGCCGUGAGCGCCGCGACGACGCCUUCAAGAAGAGAACGAGCUUGGCCGCUGCCGGUCCGCCCGAAGACAGAACAGUUUUUCACCCCGGCCAACACUCACCGCCACCAAACGCCACACUCCGGCUACCACGCUGCCCACACGCCAUGGCCACCAGGCAGCACCAAAGCCACGGUCUCUGCCCAAGAGCAUUGUGCUACCGCCUCCAGGGCCACCGCCCCGGCAUCCAAGACCUUGACACCACCUCACCCGAGACCCGCCGCGACCCCGAUCAGAGGGACGGGCGGAAAGGUCCCACCUUUCGCACCCCUGGCAACCCCCAGCGUCGAGACCCAAUAG
rnacentral:rRNA from 1 species